CAUCAAACCUCAUCAUUAGUCAUAUGAUAGAUUUGAUCAGUUCAAGUCCAAUUGUGAUCCUUAUGAAAAUUCUUUUUCAACAAUCAUACUGCUAUGGCCACAGACUCUCAGACUUAGUCUCUCAAAUCUCAUAGGACUAUUCCUUUCUAUCAAGAUCGAUAGAUCUAUCUUGAUGUAUAUCCUACUCUUACAGUGGAUCAACUAUUACCAACAUCCACUACAAAGGCUCAUUGAGAUCAUAUUUAUAUGUCAAUCAAACUUCAACAGUCUUACUAUAAGCAGUCGUACCAUCAU
rnacentral:lncRNA from 1 species